rnacentral:lncRNA from 1 species
CCUGUUUCUGUUUUUCUACCACGUCGACAACUGUGUUUCAGCGGCAUGGUGGACGAGCAGCGCUCAGGCAGGAAGCCUUCCUCUCCCAGCAGCCGAGAGCCGGCCGCUGAACUCCUCGUCUUGCUGGACACAGCCCAGCCUGCUUCCUUCCUGCAGCCUCAGGGUUCUGAUCCGAACUUCCUGCAUGCAAAUCUCCAGCCUGGCCUGAAAAGAUCAGCCUUCAUGUGGAAACCAUUGCUGCCAGAUGCCAUUCUCAGUGUGUCCCACUAAUUGAGUCUUCACACACCCUAGCAGGUAUUUCAAAGUUCAAAGGGAACAGAGGGCUUUGAGUGAAAAUUUGUCUCCCUUAUACCCAACCUGCAACAAGGCAACUGUUGGCUCCCAUCCGAGCCGCCCCAGGCACACACAGGCACGUCUGCGAACGGGCGAGAAGCCCUUCUUCGGCCAGACCUGUCUCUUCUCCUGCACUCUGCAAUGCCCUCUUUCUGAAGCGGAAGCUAAUCGCCAAAAUGUUAACCAAGAUGGGAGAAAAAAGCUUCAGUGUAACCACUGGUGCCCGGGGCGCCCUUUGUUUUUAAACAGUCUCCUCAGGCUUAGCCAUACAGCGUCGUCACCCAGCUUAUUUUUCAGUAAAAGGGAUUUUGUAAAGUCGUUUUCUCCCAGUGUCACCUGUGCUGCUGCCUGUUGCUCUGGUCCUGUUUUCAGGGCCAGAGGCUGCCUUCCGAUGUCGCGCAAUCCUCGGUGGUCGGCUCCUGAUGAAGCGAGCACCACAAGGCACACUGGCAGCCCCGCUGGAGUGGCUCGUCAUCACCGCGGCGUGCGCAUGGGCCAUUUCUUGGAAGCCCAAGG